UACGUAGGGUGCGAGCGUUAAUCGGAAUUACUGGGCGUAAAGCGUGCGCAGGCGGCUUCGCAAGUCAGGCGUGAAAUCCCCGGGCUUAACCUGGGAAUGGCGUCUGAAACUACGGAGCUGGAGUGUGGCAGAGGGAGGUAGAAUUCCACGUGUAGCGGUGAAAAUGCGUAGAGAUCGGGAGGAACAUCAGUUGCGAAGGCGGCUCUCUGGACCAGCACUGACACUGAGGCACGAAAGCGUGGGGAGCAAACAGGA
rnacentral:rRNA from 1 species